GAAGGAAAUGCUAGAAUAGGGAAUGAUUCUAGUUCGACGGUACCAUACCAGAAAGGGACGGCUAAAUACGUGCCAGCAGCCGCGGUAAUACGUAUGUCCCGAGCGUUAUCCGGAUUUAUUGGGCGUAAAGCGAGCGCAGACGGUUGAUUAAGUCUGAUGUGAAAGCCCGGAGCUCAACUCCGGAAUGGCAUUGGAAACUGGUUAACUUGAGUGUUGUAGAGGUAAGUGGAACUCCAUGUGUAGCGGUGGAAUGCGUAGAUAUAUGGAAGAACACCAGUGGCGAAGGCGGCUUACUGGACAACAACUGACGUUGAGGCUCGAAAGUGUGGGUAGCAAACAGGAUUAGAUACCCUGGUAGUCCACACCGUAAACGAUGAAUACUAGGUGUUAGGAGGUUUCCGCCUCUUAGUGCCGAAGCUAACGCAUUAAGUAUUCCGCCUGGGGAGUACGACCGCAAGGUUGAAACUCAAAGGAAUUGACGGGGACCCGCACAAGCGGUGGAGCAUGUGGUUUAAUUCGAAGCAACGCGAAGAACCUUACCAGGUCUUGACAUCCUUUGAAGCUUUUAGAGAUAGAAGUGUUCUCUUCGGAGACAAAGUGACAGGUGGUGCAUGGUCGUCGUCAGCUCGUGUCGUGAGAUGUUGGGUUAAGUCCCGCAACGAGCGCAACCCUUAUUGUUAGUUGCCAGCAUUCAGUUGGGCACUCUAGCGAGACUGCCGGUGACAAACCGGAGGAAGGCGGGGACGACGUCAGAUCAUCAUGCCCCUUAUGACCUGGGCUACACACGUGCUACAAUGGCGUAUACAACGAGUUGCCAACCCGCGAGGGUGAGCUAAUCUCUUAAAGUACGUCUCAGUUCGGACUGCAGUCUGCAACUCGACUGCACGAAGUCGGAAUCGCUAGUAAUCGCGGAUCAGCACGCCGCGGUGAAUACGUUCCCGGGUCUUGUACACACCGCCCGUCACACCAUGGGAGUUUGUAAUGCCCAAAGCCGGUGGCCUAACCUUAUGGAGGGAGCCGUCUAAAGGCAGGACAGAUUU
rnacentral:rRNA from 1 species